UUCACGCGUCUUCAGUUACCAUACGUUCAGAAAAAAUUAUCGAAGUUAAAAGUUGCUUAAAUUAAUUCCCGGACUUGGAAUGGCAAAUCACAACAACAUCCUUAUGCCUCGAACAACGUACAUUGAUGUCCAGCCACAAUCUCAGCCGACGAGCCGGUUGGCGUGGUUGGUAGAACACUUGCCUUUCACGCCGAAGGUUGUGGGUUCGAUUCCCACCCAGGACAGACAUUUGUGUGCAUGAACAUGUCUGUUUGUCCUGAGUCUGGGUGUAAUUAUCUAUAUAAGUAUGUAUUUACAAAAGACAAGUAGUAUAUGUAGUAUAUCAGUUGUCUGGUUUCCAUAGCACAAGCUUUGUACAAGCUUAAUUUGGGAUCAGAUGGCCGUGUGUGAAAAAUGUCCCAGGAUAUUAUAAAAAAAAAAAAUCUGCCUUCAAUAGCAAUACCUAAUAGCAGUACUGAUGAUUUAUUUAUGGACACUACUGACAAUGAGCAGAACAGAGAUUAAGCUUAUGUGCCUAUGUGUGUGUUCAUCUGACGACUUGUCGGUUUCUUUGGAGAAUGAGUCGCAUUGCACUACAGAUUUAACUUCUGAAAGUAUUUCAUUGGAAUUCAACACCGAUGAAACACAUUUAAUAAACCAAGUUGCUACUCAACAUUGUAAUGUCAACAUUAAAGA